CAGUAGCCGCGGGAAUACGUAGGGUGCAAGCGUUAAUCGGAAUUACUGGGCGUAAAGCGUGCGCAGGCGGUUUGUUAAGACAGAUGUGAAAUCCCCGGGCUCAACCUGGGAACUGCAUUUGUGACUGGCAAGCUAGAGUAUGGCAGAGGGGGGUGGAAUUCCGCGUGUAGCAGUGAAAUGCGUAGAUAUGCGGAGGAACACCGAUGGCGAAGGCAGCCCCCUGGGCCAAUACUGACGCUCAUGCACGAAAGCGUGGGGAGCAAACAGGAUUAGAUACCCCAGUAGUCCCUGUCUCUUAUAA
rnacentral:rRNA from 1 species